AGAGUUUGAUCAUGGCUCAGGACAAACGCUGGCGGCGUGCCUAAAACAUGCAAGUCGUACGGUCCUUCGGGACAGUGGCGAACGGCUGAGUAACACGUGGGUAACCUACCCUCGAGUGGGGGAUAACCCCGGGAAACCGGAGCUAAUACCGCGUACGUUCACCCGAUCACGGUUGGGUGAGGAAAGCAGUAAUGCGCUCGAGGAUGGGCCUGCGUCCGAUUAGCUUGUUGGUGGGGUAACGGCCUACCAAGGCGACGAUGCGUAGCUGGUCUGAGAGGAUGAUCAGCCACACUGGGACUGAGACACGGCCCAGACUCCUACGGGAGGCAGCAGCCAGGAAUCUUGGGCAAUGGGCGAAAGCCUGACCCAGCAACACCGUGUGGGUGACGAAGGCCUUAGGGUCGUAAAGCCCUGUUGAUAGGGACGAAGGGCGAAGGGUUAAUAGCCCCUAGCUUGACGGUACCUUUCGAGGAAGCCCCGGCUAACUACGUGCCAGCAGCCGCGGUAAUACGUAGGGGGCGAGCGUUGUCCGGAAUUAUUGGGCGUAAAGAGCGUGUAGGCGGUUCGGUAAGUCUGCUGUGAAAUCCUGGGGCUCAACCCUGGGCGUGCAGCGGAUACUGCCGGGCUAGAGGGUGGUAGAGGCGAGUGGAAUUCCGAGCGUAGCGGUGAAAUGCGCAGAUAUUCGGAGGAACACCAGUAGCGAAGGCGGCUCGCUGGGCCACACCUGACGCUGAGACGCGAAAGCGUGGGGAGCGAACAGGAUUAGAUACCCCCGUAGUCC
rnacentral:rRNA from 1 species